rnacentral:tRNA from 1 species
GCCUGGCUAGUUCAGUCGGUAGAGCAUGAGACUCUUAAUGUCAGGGUCGUGGGUUCAAGCCCCACGUUGGGCG